rnacentral:tRNA from 1 species
GUUGUAGCUCAGUGGUAGAGCACUUGCCUCACACAUGUGAGACCCUGGGUUCAAUCCUCAGCAUCACA